UACGUAGGGUGCAAGCGUUUAUCGGAAUUACUGGGCGUAAAGCGUGCGCAGGCGGUGAUGUAAGACAGAUGUGAAAUCCCCGGGCUCAACCUGGGAACUGCAUUUGUGACUGCAUCGCUGGAGUGCGGCAGAGGGGGAUGGAAUUCCGCGUGUAGCAGUGAAAUGCGUAGAUAUGCGGAGGAACACCGAUGGCGAAGGCAAUCCCCUGGGCCUGCACUGACGCUCAUGCACGAAAGCGUGGGGAGCAAACAGG
rnacentral:rRNA from 1 species